UCGGGGGCUCCACCACCGCGCGCUCCCACCCUCAAGGUCUGCAGGACACACCAAAGAACUCCUCCAAGUCACACAAGGGAGAAAAUUAACUUCAUUGGCUUCUAUCAGGAAAGCUAUUUUUUUUUCCUCUUCUUUCCUGCAAGUUUCCCAAACCCCAUGACUCUGAUUUCCAGGUCAGAGACUAAGGUUUUAUUUUUCUUACUCUGUAUACUUUAUAUGUGGAGAGUCCCUGAAGGAACAUUGUGAUGGGCUGAUUACUGUGAGCCAGUUGUGGGCCAGACCUGGCCUCAGGUGCUGCAAAGGGAAUUCAGUCACCCCUAUGCAGUGAUCUGUGAGCCCCAAGUCAGAUCCAACUUUUUCCUGAUAGACAGCACCCUCCUCCUCCCUACCAAGAAAUAGCAGGGUUGGAGGUAGUGACCCAAUAUUUAAGAGGUUUGAAAUUCUACAUGAGAUAUUUCUGAGUUAACUCCUAAAUAGCAGUUUCCUUAAUCAUGUGGAAAAUAAGAACGCUUGCUAAAAAAGACCAUUGGUUUAAGAGAAAUGGAAACUUAUGUCCACGUAAAAACUUGUAAGUGAAUGUUCACAGCAGCCUUUCCAUAAUAGCCAAAAAGGGAAAGCAAUCCAAAUGUCCAUCAACCAAUGAAUGGAUAAACUUAAUGUGGGAUAUACGUGUCAUGGAAUGCUAUUUGGUGAAGAAAGAAAUGAAAUAUUAAUACAUGCGUUAACAAGGAUGGACCUUAAAAUAUCGUGCUAAGUAAGAGAAGCCUGUCACAAAAGAAUAUGUAUUGUACCG
rnacentral:antisense_RNA from 1 species